rnacentral:rRNA from 1 species
GAUGAACGCUAGCUACAGGCUUAACACAUGCAAGUCGCGGGGCGGCAUGGGGGUUGCUUGCAAUCCCCGAUGGCGACCGGCGCACGGGUGAGUAACGCGUAUCCAACCUGCCCUUCACCACGGGAUAACCCGGCGAAAGUCGGACUAAUACCGUAUGUUGUCCAUUGACGGCAUCCGAUUUGGACGAAAGGUUUGGCGGUGAAGGAUGGGGAUGCGUCCGAUUAGCUGGACGGCGGGGUGACGGCCCACCGUGGCGACGAUCGGUAGGGGUUCUGAGAGGAAGGUCCCCCACACUGGAACUGAGACACGGUCCAGACUCCUACGGGAGGCAGCAGUGAGGAAUAUUGGUCAAUGGGCGUAGGCCUGAACCAGCCAAGUAGCGUGCAGGAUGACGGCCCUAUGGGUUGUAAACUGCUUUUAUGCGGGGAUAAAGUGGCCCACGUGUGGGUUUUUGCAGGUACCGCAUGAAUAAGGACCGGCUAAUUCCGUG